rnacentral:misc_RNA from 1 species
AAAGUGCCAAAGGCCAAACAAAUAAGGCUUGCGGACGUCACCACUGUCCCAUCCGUCCCGGCCCUUACGGGCAAGCGCGGAUGUGGUUAUUGUGUCCACCCUUUGUGAAACUUAAAACUUUGCUUCGGCAGCACCUUGCGGGCAACCGCUCGGGUAAGGCUGUCAGAAGCCCACUACAAAACUAGUUGAUGAAAUGUCAUGCUGUCUUAGAAAACCACUAUAUUUGAGAAAUCAAAUACUUAUUA